rnacentral:rRNA from 1 species
AGAGUUUGAUCAUGGCUNACCGGAUGAACGCUAGCUACAGGCUUAACACAUGCAAGUCGAGGGGCAGCAUGAACUUAGCUUGCUAAGUUUGAUGGCGACCGGCGCACGGGUGAGUAACACGUAUCCAACCUGCCGAUGACUCGGGGAUAGCCUUUCGAAAGAAAGAUUAAUACCCGAUGGCAUAGUUCUUCCGCAUGGUAGAACUAUUAAAGAAUUUCGGUCAUCGAUGGGGAUGCGUUCCAUUAGGUUGUUGGCGGGGUAACGGCCCACCAAGCCUUCGAUGGAUAGGGGUUCUGAGAGGAAGGUCCCCCACAUUGGAACUGAGACACGGUCCAAACUCCUACGGGAGGAAGCA